rnacentral:rRNA from 1 species
CGUAGGUGAAGCUGCGGAAGGAUCAUUG